UGCAGAAUCCCGUGAACCAUCGAGUCUUUGAACGCAAGUUGCGCCUGAAGCCUUCUGGCCGAGGGCACGUCUGCCUGGGCGUCA
rnacentral:rRNA from 1 species